UUCAGAUACUUUCCUGAGUUGAUUCCAUGUGUUCAGUUAUCGAUACUCCCAAGGUAAAGCCUACAUCUUUUAAUUACAUGUACUAAAUCAGUAGAGGGAUUAAUCAGACAUGAUUUGCUAAGAUGUUGGAUUAAUGGAUUUGGUUGCUAAACUAGGAUAUUUCAUAUAAAAUAUUUCUAAAAAUUGAGAUUGAUUUGAUGUGGUUGCAAUAUUAUUGAGGUGAUGAUAGGGAAUUCUUAAAUUAUAUGAGUCGCUCCUGUUUCAAAAACACAUUUCAAAGAGACUACUCGUUGUUUUGCUUGAGGACAAACAAAAGAGUAAGUUUGGGGGUGUUGAUAUACCAUGAAAUUUACCCAUUUUUAGCCAUGAUAUAUAGGUGCUUUUAAAUACUUUAUAGUUGUUUUGGAGUCGUUAUAGUAUAUUUCCAGGUUUUGGAGUGAUUUGGAGGAAAGUUGUGAUUUUGAUGCAUUUUGGAGUAAAAAUGAUUAAGACUCGUAGCUGACCAUCGACCAUGACUAUCGAUCGAUGAGCGAAGGCAAUAAUCGAUCGACACGCACUCCGCAUU
rnacentral:lncRNA from 1 species